rnacentral:lncRNA from 1 species
AGAAACCAAGUCCGCCGCUUGUAUAUUAGCAUUUGAUGUAGAAUAGGUUCAGAAUAUGGAUAUUCUUUUUAUCAGUGUUUAACUUUUUUUAGCGAUUCGUUUUCUAGUUACAUGUCCAAACAUUUAUUGUUGCGGUGAUGAGCUCCAAAUGAGCGUGUAUGAAAUCAUUGGAAGAGAUAUGCUGUACAAUAAUCAUAAUAAUAAUAAUAAUAAUAAUUAUGCUGAUUAAAAUUUUGCAAUCCUUUGUUUUUGGUCUUAUAUGCUCUGAUUAAAAUUAUACGUACUGAAUAUGUAGUAGUAGUAGUAGUCUGUUGCACUAGUUGCGCAAGAUGCAAAACAGUAAACACAACUGAAUCUAAUCUCAACUUUUUUCUUCUUGCAUUACAAACUAAAUGUAGCCUCUUUAAAUUGGCAUGGCAAUGUCACACGGUCCUUAUCACACCUAUUCCCAAAUCCAUAAUUCUCAAACCAAGACCAAACAUAAACAAGUGUAAUAUAUGCUAAGCACAUGUGUUUUUCAGUGGAACUACGUCCCAAACCAAAUCGCUGUAGAAUCUAUGACUUUGAGCUUUAAACCAAAUCAAAUCGCUGUAGAAUCUAUGAGUAUGACUUAGCUUUAAACCCACUGCACACCCGUGUGUGAUGCACGGCGGUUCCAANNN